rnacentral:tRNA from 1 species
GCGGGUAUCGUAUAGCGGUUAUUAUAUUUGGUUGCCAAUCAAAGGACGAGGGUUCGACUCCCUCUACCCGCUCCA